GACUGAAUUGGCCCUGUCAACACUGCUUCUCCACUUGUGAGAGAGAGACUGUACAUAGAACAGAUGCAGUGUAAUGCUAGUAGCUUUCCAAAAAGGUUUCUUUCCCUAGAGUGGACAGUAUUAAGAGCGGAACUUCUCAGUGAUUCAUCCUUGACUCUGGAAUUUACUUCUCCCCUUCUACUAACAAAGCUCAUUUUGAAGACUGUCAAGCUGAGUGCCUUUUCCUGGUUCAUGGUCUGCCCAAAGGUGACUUUUGGAGGAAAGUUCGAACAAAAUCUCAAGAACCAUUUUUGAGCUCUGUGAAGAUGAUGGUGCUGCUGCUUCUGGAGAUCCUAAAUUAAUUUCCAGUGAAUGCUGCUUUGAGAAGACCAGCAUUAUAAAAAGAUGCAAUGUCUAAUUCAGCUGAUUCUAUUUUUAUGCAUCUUGAAGUGUAGUGGUUCUCUGAAAAGUAGCUAAAUAAAAAUGGCUCCUUCUUACUAAAGUGAUCUGCUCCUAUUGUGAAUUCAAAACAUAUUCUUAAUUUAGUGACAAAUGAGUUUUUAAUACUUCUUUUAAACUCUUGCUAGGCAAUGCAACUAUGGGAGAGGCAGCUAGAUUCUAUUCUGGUUCUUACAUUAUCAACAGAAUUGUGAACUCUUAGAGUCACUAUUUUGUUCACUUAUAAGAGACUCAAGUGCUCCCUGCAUUUCUAUUUUUUAUUUAACCAGGAUAUCCCCAAAAGACUUAUCUUUCCAUGACUUUAGCUCCUGAAACUAAAAACAGGUUCCUUAAGCUAUCUACUUGUGAUAU